AGCCAGACUCCUACGGGAGGCAGCAGUGGGGAAUAUUGCACAAUGGGGGAAACCCUGAUGCAGCGACGCCGCGUGAAGGAUGAAGUAUUUCGGUAUGUAAAGCCCUAUCAGCAGGGAAGAACAAUGACGGUACCUGACUAAGAAGCACCGGCUAACUACGUGCCAGCAGCCGCGGUAAUACGUAGGGGGCGAGCGUUAUCCGGAUUCACUGGGUGUAAAGGGAGCGUAGACGGCCAUGCAAGCCAGGGGUGAAAGCCCGGGGCCCAACCCCGGGACUGCCCUUGGAACUGCAUGGCUGGAGUGCGGGAGGGGCAGGCGGAAUUCCUGGUGUAGCGGUGAAAUGCGUAGAUAUCAGGAGGAACACCGGUGGCGAAGGCGGCCUGCUGGACUGCGACUGACGUUGAGGCCCGAAAGCGUGGGGAGCAAACAGGAUUAGAUACCCCCGUA
rnacentral:rRNA from 1 species